UACGUAGGUGACAAGCGUUGUCCGGAUUUACUGGGCGUAAAGAGCGCGCAGGCGGUCGUUCAAGUCGCGUGUGAAAGCCCCCCGGCUCAACUGGGGAGGGUCACGCGAUACUGAUCGACUCGAAGGCAGGAGAGGGAAGUGGAAUUCCCGGUGUAGUGGUGAAAUGCGUAGAUAUCGGGAGGAACACCAGUGGCGAAGGCGAACUUCCUGGCCUGGUUCUUGACGCUGACGGCG
rnacentral:rRNA from 1 species